GUGGAAGAGACCCUACGGAUCAUGGAGUCCAGCCCCUGUCAAGGAGACAGAGUGAGGAGGUGAACACCGAAUCUCUGGGUCUGCAACCCGAGACCUAAACCAUUGAGCUAUCCAUCUGCUCUCUGGAGAAAUGGCAUCACCAAGAUGCAAUGAAGAAGAAACAAUAACAAGAGAAUACCGAUCAGCAUCUUUCUCCUGUCAAGUCUGAAAUUCUGUAUGGGGAUCUUGUCUUCUUAUCUUUGGGCUGUUCUUGUCAGAACACGCAGCCUCGUGAUUGUUCCUGAACCCAACAUAAUACUGUCGACAUUGUUACUGGGAAUCCAUGAAGGCCUGGGCCAUGCUCCUGUGUGUAUCUAAAGCAAUAUCUUGGUCUUGAUGUCAAGUAAUCAGACGGCGAUUAGCCAAAUGG